UGCGUAGGCGGGCUAAUAAGUCAGUGGUGAAAUCUCUCGGCUCAACCGGGAAACUGCCAUUGAUACUGUUAGUCUUGAGUUCGGUUGAGGUAGGCGGAAUGAGUAAUGUAGCGGUGAAAUGCUUAGAUAUUACACAGAACACCAAUUGCGUAGGCAGCUUACUAGACCGACACUGACGCUGAGGCACGAAAGCGUGGGGAGCGAACAGGAUUAGAUACCCUGGUAGUCC
rnacentral:rRNA from 1 species